rnacentral:rRNA from 1 species
GUUAAGAAUCUUGCGCAAUGGACGAAAGUCUGACGCAGCGACGCCGCGUGAAGGAUGAAGGCUUUCGGGUUGUAAACUUCGGUAGACUGGGAAGAAAAAGUAAGUUCGUUGAGGGCUUACAUUGACGGUACCAGUCUGAAGCCCCGGCUAAUUACGUGCCAGCAGCCGCGGUAAUACGUAUGGGGCAAGCGUUGUUCGGAAUUAUUGGGCGUAAAGGGCUCGCAGGUGGUUUGUUAAGUUGGUGGUUUAAUCUCUGGGCUCAACCCAGAGUCAGCCAUCAAAACUGGCGAACUUGAGUACGAUAGGGGAUAGCGGAAUUCUCGGUGUAGCGGUGGAAUGCGUAGAUAUCGAGAGGAACACCAAUGGCGAAGGCAGCUAUCUGGAUCGUAACUGACACUCAUGAGCGAAAGUGCGGGGAGCAAACAGGAUUAGAAACCCCAGUAGUCC